GGUCCGCGAAGAGAGUCCCGAUUGGAUUCUAGAGGGGGGCGGGCGCCCUGGUCCUCAGGGCGAGCGCCCUGGGCCAGGCCUCGUUCGACCUCCCGUUCGUUCCCGUGGCUUCUGGAGUCUUCUAGAUGGUAGAAAAUUGCGCGGUGCGUUGAUAUCUCUAUGUAAUCCUGACAUGUGGGCCUUUCUUCCUUAUUUCCUGAUAACCCCCUACAGAAAUAGAUAAACAACAAAUCUCGUGGAAUUCUGUCAGAUCAAACCCUAAUUCUAGGUGUUGUUUGCAUAUUGGUACUUUCUCUUGUUUAUUUGAUAAUUAAAAUUGAUACUUAAGAACCGUCAACAAAUACCCCCAUACUUAGGCUUUUACUCGUCCUUGAUAAAAGGAUGGUUAAGAAAAAUAUCUAGGGUUAAAACAUUGUAAAACAUUUUCUUCAUACUUGCAGGGUGUUAAAAUCCACUGUGUACUAUAGUCAGGGAAGUAUAUGGUUAAGAGUAAAGAUCCUUUCUUCUCAAUCCUGUCACUUGGAGUUUUUGUAUAUUUUUUAAAAGAAGGUUAGCAUACCUUUAUCCUCAUAGGUUCUUUCAGAUCACUCAUUUAUCUUUUAUAUACCUCACUAAGACUAUUUUAAUUUGCAAAAAUUCUCAAGCAUACUUACUUUGCAUUUAUUGCCUGAUCAAAACGGGAUCCGAGGAGGGGAAUGUCAUACUCUUAGAUCAAAGACUUUGGAAAUUAAAAACUUGUCAACUCUUGCUGGUAUAUUGCUUAUUAGAGGGACCAUUGGCUAUCAUUUUCUUUCUUUUUCUCUUUUUUUUAAGUGGAUACCGAGGUAACCCUAAUUCUACUGCCAGACACUUGUCCAUUUUUUCUGCGAGGUUAUCGAGCACUUGCUCCUUUUUAUUUCCUCGAAAUAUCUUUAUUUUUGCAUAACCCAUGCCUCUAAUGCAAUAAUACUUCGGAAGAGUGAAUCUUUCUGAAUAAAUGUCUUGAUCUUAGGAGCAUGAUAAAUCUCUCAACAAGUGUCUAACUCAUUUUGAACAAACUCAAUACAGAGUAGAUAGCUUUUAUAAUCAUAAUUAAUAUUUUCAGCUUUAUCAGGCAUAUAAAACGCUGAGGAUGGUAUCUAGAAUUUUGAAGAUUUUGAAAUAAAUUCUCCAAGCAACGAUGAUAUCAAGAAUAAGAAACUCAUACUCUACCAUCUCACAUUCCAUAUUGACUUAAGUAACACAGGGUUUUUAAAAUGAUUUUUCAAUAAUUGCAUGUUUCAAGACAUAUCACAGAUUGAGUUUACUUAUGAUUAGAAAUAUUUUAAUCUUUUUAGUUUAUCAUGUCGGCAACAGUAUUCUGCAUAAUCCAAAAUAUAUAUAUGUGUAAAGUAAGUGUGCAGAGUGCGUACCUGAAUCGUGGAGUGGUGUACUCGAAGUGUGUUUGGCAUGUCGAGUGAUCUCCCCCAUACUUGUUUUCUGCUUUCUUGCACAAAAAUAAAGUAGAGACACACAAGACAUAAUAAUAAUAUUAAUACUCUUUAUUAAUCUUGAGACAUUUAUUACAAAUAACUAGUA
rnacentral:lncRNA from 1 species